CCUACGGGAGGCAGCAGUAGGGAAUCUUCCGCAAUGGACGAAAGUCUGACGGAGCAACGCCGCGUGAACGAUGAAGGCCUUCGGGUCGUAAAGUUCUGUUGUUAGGGAAGAACAAGUGCUAGUUAAAUAAGCUGGCACCUUGACGGUACCUAACCAGAAAGCCACGGCUAACUACGUGCCAGCAGCCGCGGUAAUACGUAGGUGGCAAGCGUUGUCCGGAAUUAUUGGGCGUAAAGCGCGCGCAGGCGGUUUCUUAAGUCUGAUGUGAAAGCCCCCGGCUCAACCGGGGAGGGUCAUUGGAAACUGGGAAACUUGAGUGCAGAAGAGGAAAGUGGAAUUCCAAGUGUAGCGGUGAAAUGCGUAGAGAUUUGGAGGAACACCAGUGGCGAAGGCGACUUUCUGGUCUGUAACUGACGCUGAGGCGCGAAAGCGUGGGGAGCAAACAGGAUUAGAUACCCUGGUAGUCCACGCUGUAAACGAUGAGUGCUAAGUGUUAGAGGGUUUCCGCCCUUUAGUGCUGAAGUUAACGCAUUAAGCACUCCGCCUGGGGAGUACGGUCGCAAGACUGAAACUCAAAUGAAAUUGACGG
rnacentral:rRNA from 1 species